rnacentral:misc_RNA from 1 species
AAUGGCGUAAUUCGACUGAGUGGCUGUCUUUUGCGAAACUCGGAGUAGGAAUUUGAAGUGUUCUUGCUUAAAUAUUGUAAAAGUUUACCUAAACUAGGCCUAUCAGGACUGAGGAAUGGUUCCUUAAGAAAUGGCUUCCUUUAUAAGUACUCUGCAGACAGCAAAAAGCAUCUUUACAUUGAGGAUACUGCUUGGAAUUAUCUUCUUGGGAAU